rnacentral:rRNA from 1 species
CGCAAGCCUGACGGAGCAAGACCGCGUGCGGGAUGACGGCCUAAUGGUUGUAAACCGCUUUUCUCUGGGAAGAAUGAUGACGGUACCAGAGGAAUCAGCCUCGGCUAACUCCGUGCCAGCAGCCGCGGUAAUACGGAGGAGGCAAGCGUUAUCCGGAAUUGUUGGGCGUAAAGCGUCCGUAGGUGGUGAAUCAAGUCUGCUGUCAAAGCGUGGGGCUUAACUCCAUAGAGGCAGUGGAAACUGGUUGACUAGAGUGCGGUAGGGGUCGAGGGAAUUCCCAGUGUAGCGGUGAAAUGCGUAGAUAUUGGGAAGAACACCAGUGGCGAAGGCGCUCUACUGGGCCGCAACUGACGCUGAGGGACGAAAGCUAGGGGAGCG